ACGGAGGAUGCAAGCGUUAUCCGGAUUCAUUGGGUUUAAAGGGUGCGUAGGCGGCUUUUUAAGUCAGUGGUGAAAUCUUGCCGCUUAACGGUAAAAUUGCCAUUGAUACUGAAAAGCUUGAGUACAAUUGAGGUAAGCGGAAUGUGUAGUGUAGCGGUGAAAUGCUUAGAUAUUACACAGAACACCGAUUGCGAAGGCAGCUUACUAAACUGUUACUGACGCUGAUGCACGAAAGCGUGGGGAGCGAACAGGAUUAGAUACCCUGGUAGUCCACGCCGUAAACGAUGAUCACUCGCUGUAUGCGAUACACAGUAUGCGGCCAAGCGAAAGCAUUAAGUGAUCCACCUGGGGAGUACGAUCGCAAGGUUG
rnacentral:rRNA from 1 species